ensembl:lncRNA
UACUUUUGAUAUGUGCUUCUCUUUUUUUAAAUAUUUCAGCAUUUUGGAACGAACCUCUUAUCACUAAGAGGCUCAGACAAACUGCCAUGUGCUGUGGUUCACUUCAUAUGUCUUGGUCUGGAUGAUUCUGCAUCAAGCGGUUGGUAAAUGGCUGGUUGUGUCGUGACAGCUGGACCUCAUGGUGUUGAUGAGGAUCUGGCCCUCUGAGGCAUGAUCGCCAGAGCAAAGGAAGCUGGAAAAAGAAGAUCUGUUAGCAAUUAAUCAGCAAAGCCUGAGGGCUCCUAAAGACAUUAAAAACCUGCUUUGAAAUUAUGAAACAAGUUGAACGUGUAGAGACUUGACUGAAGUUGCUAUAGUACUGAUUCUAAACAGCUGAAAUAACAGACAAACAACUUGACUGAUAAGAUAAUGGCAGGCAAAAACCUGUUAAUUGAACUGGAGCAGUCUUUCACAGUCGAUGGGACUCUUCUGAACCUCUACAGUCCAGAGCUGGAGCAAACGGCCCUGUGUUUGAUGGUUAAAUUUAGCACUGUGUCAGAGACGACCGUUUAACUGAUGACAAGUGAUUAACAACCUGUACAUUACAGUCAAGAACUCAUUAUGAACUCAACUAGAUCUCCAUUAUUUCACACAGAAUCAAACGCACAGGCACCUCUGAGCUAAUUAAACACCUCUAACCCUAAAUAUGAACACCUCAGGAGCCACAUAGCAACACACUAACAACCACUCAGAACACCCCAGCAACUGCAUAGUAACACACUAACAACCACUCAGAACACCCCAGCACCCACUUAGUAACACACUAACAACCACUUAGAACACCCCAGCAACCGCUUAGUAACAUACUAACAACCACUCAGAACACCCCAGCAACUGCAUAGAAACUUACUAACGACCACUCAAAACACCCCAGCAACCAUAUUGCAACACACUAACAACCACUCUGAACACCCCAGCAACCACAUAGCAACAUAUUAACAACCACUCAAAUAGCGACUGCAUAUCAACACACUAUAAUAGAUCACUCAGAACACCCCAGCAAUCACUUAGUAACACACUAACAACCACUCAGAUAGUGACUGCAUAGCAACACACUAACAAUCACUUAGAACACCCCAGCAACUGCAUACAGUAGUAACACACUAAUGACCACUCAGAACACACCAGCAAAUGCAUAGUAACACACUAACAAUCACUUAGAACACCCCAGCAGCUGCAUACAGUAGUAACACACUAAUGA